CGGAUUGGAGUCUGCAACCCGACUCCAUGAAGCUGGAUUCGCUAGUAAUCGCGCAUCAGCCACGGCGCGGUGAAUACGUUCCCGGGCCUUGUACACACCGCCCGUCAAGCCAUGGAAGCCGGGAGUGCCUGAAGUGCGUGACCGCAAGGAGCGUCCUAAGGCAAUACCGGUGACUGGGGCUAAGUCGUAACAAGGUAGC
rnacentral:rRNA from 1 species